UGUUGUCUAUUGAUGGUUUUUCUAGCCAAUUAGGCUGUUGUGUCACUCCAUUAGCGGGCACCUGACCACCGCGCUAACACUCUGAUCCGCCCCCUAGGGCUUCACCGGGGGUUCUCAUUACGGCGAUCAGCUGAGUGACAGUCGGUUAGUGCCCCUCCAAGGAACCCACGCGACACCUUUCAUGACCUCGAGCAGAACGGGUAAAGCAGACACGGCCGUAGGUCAGAGCUACGGAAGACAGCCCGUUGGGUCCGGCUGUCAGUCAAGCCUGCGAUCCAGUGUUGGAACGCAUCCUACGGGCGUGAAGUCGCCGGCUCCAUUCCCCUCAUUCACAGCCGCCAAUCAGAGACGGCGCUCGCUUCCAGAGC